GACAGAGGGUGCAAACGUUGUUCGGAAUUACUGGGCGUAAAGCGCGUGUAGGCGGCUAUGCAAGUCGGGUGUGAAAUCCCACGGCUCAACCGUGGAAGUGCACUCGAAACUACGUAGCUGGAGUUCUGGAGAGGAAGGUGGAAUGCUCGGUGUAGAGGUGAAAUUCGUAGAUAUCGAGUGGAACACCGGUGGCGAAGGCGGCGUCCUGGACCAACACUGACACUGAGGAGCGAAAGCCAGGGGAGCAAACGGG
rnacentral:rRNA from 1 species